AACUUCCGGCAGCUCUUGAAGUUACCAUCACAGAAACACAGGAAUAGCUGAACCUCCUAAAAGGCGAUAUGUAUUUGUAUCCCACAGAACCGCUCCCGACAAGAAACCACGUUCAACGGCGAAGAAAAGAAGCAACACGAGUAACUCUCGAUGUGGCUUUCCACCGCCGGAGACAGCUCCUGAGAGUAAAGAGAUGCGGUUUGAUGCCGAGCUCGCAACUUUCCUGUUAGCCCGGGAUGGUAGAAUCCACCUCAGGCUGGAACCACACCUUUGCAGUCCCUCGAAAGCAAGAAAUGGUGACAAAGAAGCUCGCUGGUGCUGCUUCUGAAACAGCUGCCUGGGUUACCAAUGUUGGUAUGUUGGCUUUCCGAGAUGGUGGCCGGAUUGACGACGCUGCAUCUUCGAGGUGGAUCCCCGGAGGUGCCUGCCUUCUCAUUGAGGCAUAGCGGCGGUCCUACCUGGAGGGGAAGCGCAUGAUGCUCAGCCUGACUGUUGCCAAGGUGAUCCUGAGGAUCUCCUGGGAGGAGUGGAGGCUGCACUGUUGGAGGGAGGACACAUGGGGCGGAGGAGACGUCCCUCCUCAUCCAGGAUCUCCACGUCACCCUGGACGUCCCUUUGCUGGAUUCUCUCCACAUCCAGGACAUAUGGAGUACACAGAGGCGCCACCUCAGCUGCAUUCAGGACCCACCAGGUGUGCAGCUGUACAGAGACUGGUAGACUGACAAAGGGCGGGGUCAGCCUUGCGGUUUCCACCUUAACCAGUUCAUCCCAGGUACGUGUGUGUCUCAUAGCUUGUGAUUAAGUAGAUUGUGUAUUAUCAUUUCAAAGGAAGAUGAAUGUCCAUUCCAAUCUUGCAGUUUUGUGUGGAUUUAUUGCAACAAAAUAAAACAAACAAGAACAAAGAAAAACCAUGGCUGCUGCUGCCUCUCUUUGCACUGGUAAAAAACCAUUAGCCCACCCAGGUGCAUGCUGGUCCUCAGUGUGCCUCCCUACUCAAAUAACCCCAAGUGCCCAGUGUUAACCAA